rnacentral:rRNA from 1 species
UACGUAGGGGCAAGCGUUGUCUGGAUUUAUUGGGCGUAAAGAGCGUGUAGGCGGCCGUACAGGUCAGCUGUGAAAACUCGAGGCUCAACCUCGAGACGUCGGUUGAAACCGUACGGCUAGAGUCCGGAAGAGGAGAGUGGAAUUCCCGGUGUAGCGGUGAAAUGCGUAGAUAUUGGGAGGAACACCAGUGGCGAAGGCGGCUUACUGGACCGGUUCUGACGCUGAGGCGCGAAAAGCGUGGGGAGCGAACCGG